UACGAAGGGGGCUAGCGUUGCUCGGAAUCACUGGGCGUAAAGCGCACGUAGGCGGACUCUUAAGUCGGUGGUGAAAUCCUGGAGCUCAACUCCAGAACUGCCUUCGAUACUGGGAGUCUCGAGUCCGGGAGAGGUGAGUGGAACUGCGAGUGUAGAGGUGAAAUUCGUAGAUAUUCGCAAGAACACCAGUGGCGAAGGCGGCUCACUGGCCCGAUACUGACGCUGAGGC
rnacentral:rRNA from 1 species